rnacentral:rRNA from 1 species
UACGUAGGGUGCAAGCGUUGUCCGGAAUUAUUGGGCGUAAAGAGCUCGUAGGCGGUUUUGUCGCGUCGAAUGUGAAAACCCGGGGCUCAACCCCGGGCCUGCAUUCGAUACGGGCAGACUAGAGUUCGGUAGGGGAGUCUGGAAUUCCUGGUGUAGCGGUGAAAUGCGCAGAUAUCAGGAGGAACACCGGUGGCGAAGGCAGCACUCUGGGACGUGACUGACGCUGAGACGCGAAAGCGUGGGGAGCAAACAGG